UGGGGAAUUUUGGACAAUGGGGGAAACCCUGAUCCAGCCAUCCCGCGUGUGCGAUGAAGGCCUUCGGGUUGUAAAGCACUUUUGGCAGGAAAGAAACGUCAUGGGUUAAUACCCCGUGAAACUGACGGUACCUGCAGAAUAAGCACCGGCUCACUACGUGCCAGCAGCCGCGGUAAUACGUAGGGUGCAAGCGUUAAUCGGAAUUACUGGGCGUAAAGCGUGCGCAUGCGGUUCGGAAAGAAAGAUGUGAAAUCCCAGAGCUCAACUUUGGAACUGCAUUUUUAACUACCGGGCUAGAGUGUGUCAGAGGGAGGUGGAAUUCCGCGUGUAGCAGUGAAAUGCGUAGAUAUGCGGAGGAACACCGAUGGCGAAGGCAGCCUCCUGGGAUAACACUGACGCUCAUGAACGAAAGCGUGGGGAGCAAACAGG
rnacentral:rRNA from 1 species